UACAGGUUAGUAUAAGAUGUACAUAGAUUUUUGGAAUCUAGGGGAAUGGUUUAAUUUCAUUGCUUGUAA
rnacentral:tRNA from 1 species